GAAUGUUCGAGUACAGAAGAAUCUCAAAUAGCCAAAAGAUAAUUAAGGAGUUGUUCAGCAUCCUCAGUCAUCAGUCCACAGGAAAAGAACACAUUUAAAGGUUAUGAUAAGGCAAUGGUGAAAGAAUUCUUUUUUGAUUGCUAAAAAGUCAGACUGAAACAUGAAAAGGACAUGCUGAAUCUUCACUGGAUUGAAGACGGGAGAGAGUCAUGUGAACAUCCUGCAAGAAUGGUCUUUAAGAGAAGACAGCAGCCCCCCCCCCCCCAACAGUCACUCAACAAACAGGAGCCUCAGUCUAAAACAGAAUUCUCACAACAACCUGAACCAGAUUAUGGAUGACUUCUUAGGGCCUCAAAAUGAAAAUGUAUCAUGUUGGUUGGCAUCCAUGCUGGAUUUCAGCUUUGUAAGGCCCUUUCCAGAAUAUUCCACCAGGUCCACCUAGAUACUGACCCACAGAACUGU